rnacentral:rRNA from 1 species
UACGUAGGGUGCGAGCGUUGUCCGGAAUUACUGGGCGUAAAGAGCUCGUAGGUGGUUUGUCGCGUUGUCCGUGAAAACUCACAACUCAAUUGUGGGCGUGCGGGCGAUACGGGCAGACUGGAGUACUGCAGGGGAGACUGGAAUUCCUGGUGUAGCGGUGAAAUGCGCAGAUAUCAAGAGGAACACCGGUGGCGAAGGCGGGUCUCUGGGCCGAUACUGACGAUGAGGAGCGAAAGCGUGGGGAGCGAACAGG